rnacentral:rRNA from 1 species
UUCCGGUUGAUCCUGCCGGAGGCCAUUGCUAUCGGGGUCCGAUUUAGCCAUGCUAGUCGCACGGGUUCAGACCCGUGGCGAAAAGCUCAGUGACACGUGGCCAAACUACCCUGUGGAUCGGGACAACCUCGGGAAACUGAGGCUAAUCCCGAAUAGGGCUCACAGCCUGGAGUGGCGUGAGUCCGAAACGCUCCAGCGCCACAGGAUGUGGCUGCGGCCGAUUAGGUUGACGGUGGGGUAACGGCCCACCGUGCCCAUAAUCGGUACGGGUUGUGAGAGCAAGAGCCCGGAGACGGUAUCUGAGACAAGAUACCGGGCCCUACGGGGCGCAGCAGGCGCGAAACCUUUACACUGCGCGAGAGCGCGAUAAGGGGACCCCGAGUGCGAGGGCAUAUAGUCCUCGCUUUUCUGGACUGUAGGGAGGUCCAAGAAUAAGGGCUGGGCAAGACCGGUGCCAGCCGCCGCGGUAAUACCGGCAGCCCGAGUGAUGGCCGAUUUUA